AUUGAACGCUGGCGGCAUGCUUUACACAUGCAAGUCGAACGGCAGCACGGGUGCAUGCACCUGGUGGCGAGUGGCGAACGGGUGAGUAAUGCAUCGGAACGUAUCCAAUAAUGGGGGAUAACGCAUCGAUAGGUGUGCUAAUACCGCAUACGCCCUGAGGGGGAAAGUGGGGGACCGUAAGGCCUCACGUUAAUGGAGCGGCCGAUGCCUGAUUAGCUAGUUGGUGAGGUAAAGGCUCACCAAGGCGACGAUCAGUAGCUGGUCUGAGAGGAUGAUCAACCACACUGGGACUGAGACACGGCCCAGACUCCUACGGGAGGCAGCAGUGGGGAAUUUUGGACAAUGGGGGCAACCCUGAUCCAGCCAUGCCGCGUGAGUGAAGAAGGCCUUCGGGUUGUAAAGCUCUUUCGCAAGGGAAGAAAACUUAGCCAUUAAUACUGGUUGAGGAUGACGGUACCUUGAUAAGAAGCACCGGCUAACUACGUGCCAGCCGCCGCCGUAACAC
rnacentral:rRNA from 1 species